ensembl:lncRNA
CCCAGAGUCUGGGAAGGACAAGGUCACACUGAAUGAGCAGCAAACCCAAGUGAAACUGGAGUUCAUUGGGGGACUGACAGACUAAGACACAAACACAACUCAAAAGCUUUCUUUAAGAAGUCACCGUGGUGUGAGCUGCUGACUCAGCACUGCCUGGUAGUGAGCUGCAGGAUGGCGUGAAGCCAGAACACUGGGCACGGGGCAGGUCCUUCCACCAGCAAAGCCAACCUUUGGGACAGACUGUGAUCACACGGUUGAGUUCUGAGGUGAUAAUCAAAAGGUUGAUGCAAGAGAAAAUGGGAUGCGCUGACUGUGACCCCAGGAUGGGCUGUUCCUGAGAUGCUGCCCAGCUUUUGCUUGCCUUGCCCAGCAGCGUUUGCCAACUUUCAAUUCUUGGUACUCAGUAUGGAGGAGUUCUUCCUUUCUGCCAGGAGCCAAGGCAAAAAAUAAAAAUGCUAAAAUGGGAAUUCAGGUCAGCUGAGUGUCUCUUUUCCCUUCUUGUUGAUUCAGGAGGGGAUAAGCAUUGGUAAGAAUUAGCAUGGAUGAUAUUUUUCUGGAAGAAUGCAAUUACAAAAAAUGGCACAGAUAUUCAAGAACCUCGUUUGUCCCAGAUUUCGUUUUUGGAAUUGCACAAAAGGUGGCCUGCCUACAAAAGAAGUUUUGAACAAUAUAAGUCAAUUAUGUGCUGUAACUUGGCAGGCUGUUUACCAGCCUGGAAAAUGAGUCCCAGACACCCACUUGUGCCUGACAGUAUCAAUCUAACCAUAACAUAUUAGCACCAGUUGACACUUCU